UACGUAGGGCGCAAGCGUUGUCCGGAUUUAUUGGGCGUAAAGAGCUCGUAGGCGGUCUGUCGCGUCGGCUGUGAAACCCCGAGGCUCAACCUCGGGCCUGCGGUCGAUACGGGCAGACUAGAGUGUGGUAGGGGAGACUGGGAUUCCUGGUGUAGCGGUGAAAUGCGCAGAUAUCAGGAGGAACACCGGUGGCGAAGGCGGGUCUCUGGGCCAUAACUGACGCUGAGGAGCGAAAGCGUGGGGAGCGAACAGG
rnacentral:rRNA from 1 species